AUAUCUCUCUGUACGGGAAGGAUGAGAAGCUUCUACCAGGGUUCGAUUCGAGCGCAGCGAGAAAGCGUUGCCGC
rnacentral:sRNA from 10 species